UACGUAGGCAGCGAGCGUUGUUCGGAGUUACUGGGCGUAAAGGGUGUGUAGGCGGUUUCUUAAGUUUGGUGUGAAAUCUCCCGGCUUAACCGGGAGGGUGCGCCGAGUACUGAGGGACUCGAGUGCGGGAGGGGAGAGUGGAAUUCCUGGUGUAGCGGUGAAAUGCGUAGAUAUCAGGAGGAACACCGGUGGUGUAGACGGCUCUCUGGACCGUAACUGACGCUGAGACACGAAAGCGUGGGUAGCAAACAGG
rnacentral:rRNA from 1 species